rnacentral:tRNA from 1 species
GCCGACGUGGUGGAACUGGUAGACACGCAGGAUUUAGGUUCCUGUGCCUACGGGUGUGCGGGUUCGAGUCCCGCCGUCGGCA